GGGCGUGUGGCUCAGUUGGUAGAGCGCCCGCUUAGCAUUAGUUACUCGUGACUUACAAGCUUGCGGAAGGUCCCCGGUUCGAUUCCGGGCUCGUCCA